AUGUCGCUCUCCAAGCCGCUCGCCGCGCGCCGCCUCGUGCCGGCGCUCUUCCCGCUCGCCCACGCGGACGCCGCCUCGGCCGCGGCCUCCCGCCGCGCCCGCCGCCGGGGCGCCUUCGUCGCGACGCCCCCGGCCCCGCCGCCCUCCCCGAGCUCCGUGCGCCUCGCGGAGCCGCUCCCCUCGCUCGCCCCCUCCCGCCUCGCGCUCCACAACCGCGUCCUCGCGCUCCUCUCCCCCGCCGCCGCCGCCCAGGCCCCCGACCUCAACGAGGCCGCGCUGCUCACCCGCCACGCGCUCCACUCCAACUGCCGCCCCUCCUCCUUCACCUGCGUCGCCGUCCUCGCCGCGCUCCUCCGCGCGCGCCGCCUCGACGACUUCUUCGCGCUCCACCGCUUCGCCCUCCAGGCCGCCGUCCCGCCCACCGCCGCCACCCACGCGCUCUACCUCUCCGCCCUCGCCGCCCGCCGCCUCCCCGACGCCGCGCUCCUCCACCUCCGCCUCAUCGCCCGCCCCAGAUCCCCGGUGCCCCCCUCUCCGACCGCCUACCGGGUCGUCGUCAGGUGCCUCGUCGCGGACCACGGCCGCCUCGCCGACGCCGUCGCGCUCAAGGAUGAGAUGCUCGCCUCCGGGUUCGUCGGGCCCGAUCCCCAUGUGUACAGCCUCCUCAUGGCCGGGUUUGUGGAAGCCGGGGAUGGGGCCAAAGCUGUGGAGCUGCACCAAGAACUGCAGGACAAGCUUGGUGGCGAGCCGGUCCUCGAUGGCAUCGUGUACGGGAGCCUCAUGAAGGCCUACUUCCUUAUGGGAAUGGAGGAGAAGGCCAUGGAGUGCUACAAAGAGGUCUUCACCCCGGAAUCAGAGGUGAGGUUUGGGACCGAGAGCUAUAAUGAGGUGCUCGAUGCGCUUGGGAAGAACCAAAGGUUAGAGGAUGCACUCAACCUGUUCGACAGAAUGCUCGGGGAGCAUGACCCUCCACUGAGGAUUACGGUUGACGUGAGAAGCUUCAGCGUGAUGGUGGAUGCCUACUGUGCUGCUGGAAGGUUUGAGGAUGCGAUUGCGGUGUUUCGGAGGAUGGGGGAGUAUAAGGUGGUGCCGGAUGUAGCAGCAUACAACAAUCUGAUUCGGCAUCUCGGGCUUAAUAAGCUGGUCGAUGAGGCAGAGGUGCUCCACAAGGAGAUGGGCGAGCAUGGUCUUGUUCCGGAUGAGGAGACAUGUGUGCUGCUCAUGGAGGCGUGCUUUAAGGCUGAUCGCAUCGACGAUGGUAUCAGCUACUUCGACAGAAUGGCUGAGCUGGAGUUGAAGCCUGAUGCAUCGCAUUAUCAUAGGAUCAUCGACGGCUUGGUUGAUUUAAGCUUGCUCGACAAGGCUCAGGAGUACUUCGAUGAGAUGAGGGAGAAGAAAAUUCACCCAAGCAUUGCAACCUACGAGACACUGCUAAAGGCAUAUGUUGGCGUUGGGGUGACACGGUUGGAUGAUGCAGCCAAGGUAGCAAAGUGUAUCCUUUUGGAUGAGAAUGUGGUUUUCAGUGAUGAGACGAGGGAGCUCCUGGAAGGCGCGCUCCGUGGAGAGGGCAGGGAAGAUGACAUAGCAAAGCUGUAUGAAGACGUGGAGAGGGAGAAGGCCGAAGCAGUUCUGCGGGCGGAAGAAGAGAAGGCGAGGGCAGAGGCACUUGCCAGGGAAGAGAGGGCGACAAGGAGGGCAGAGGCUGCUGCCAAGGACGAGGCUGCAGCUAAAGCUAGUGCUGCUGCCAUUGAGGCCAUCAUUGGCCAUAGAAGGAAAACCGAGGGCGAGACCGAAGCACCCGCAUCUACUCCGAACACUCUUGAUGCCGGGAUUCUCAGCAGGCUUGGCCUCAGUUCACCUGGAGAAGGUGCGCCUCAAGACACUCCAAUAAUAAGUACUGAAACAAAAGGAGACGGGCAGGAGCAAUUUUGA
rnacentral:rRNA from 1 species